UUUUGUUGAGAGGUGGGAGGAGCGAUUCGAGGAGGUCCGGGCAGUGGCUAGACUCAUUAUGCGGUGUGCGCUGCGGGUUUGUUGUUCCUUCUCUCCGCCAGAGGCGCAGAACUUUUUGGGUGCACUCUUGGGUCUUCCUGUCCGUCUUAUUUCCUUCGCCUUCAGGAUACCUGCGGUUUCCUCUGUGGAGCUGCCCCGAGCCUGUCUCAAGAUCCCUGCACCCAUCCCUGGCACUGUUCCUUCCCUUUUCCAGAACCUUCCCUGCAUCUCUGACGGCAGCUGUGUGCAGUUCGCUGUCAGAAAGAAGCUUCUGAGCAUCUAAGAGAAGGCUGGUGUCUGGGAGCCUACAUGGAAGUGCCCCCUGCGUGAGAGUUCUCCACUGUCCUGCCUCAGAUUGUUGGGCCUGAAUCAGCACGGAGGGCCACUGUUUCUGCUCUGAAGAGAGAAGGAACCAUCAGGCUGAUCCCAAGGGUAAAGAAGGCAUAGCAAGAGACAGGAGGUCCUGCAGCCUGACGCAGCACAUCAGUGACACCAGUGGAGAGGAUUGGAGGCACCUAGAGCCAGAACUGUCUGGGCCUUUCAAAACUGGGAGCCCGAGUUAUGGAUGGUUCAUCUUCCUCUUCCUGGGCCAAGAGCCCGAGUGCCAGCCCCUGGAGCCUGCUCCACACCAGCACCACCACCAGCUUCUUCCCCCGACUUCACCACCAGCAGCUGUGCCUCCAACUUCAGGCUCUUCUUCUCUCCCUUUGCCCUUCUGCCUGUUCCUGCGGCCCGUCCCACGAUCUCCAAUAAAC